GCUGGACAAGGCUGCCUUCCUGCUCCACAAGACCAAAUCAGUCCAUGACUUUACAUUAUACGCAGGACAUGCCUGAAUUGCACAACACAAUUGCAGUGUCAGGGCAGGUGACAUGGUACUCAAGAGGUCCAUGGGCAUUGUGAUUAUGAAGGUAGUCUCAUGAGUAGCACGCUCUAGUUUUCUCUUAUGCCUCCUAGUCCUAUUAUUUGCACUAGAAGAAAUAGGAGGGUUGUGAUUCAUUGUUAGGUAUGCCAUUGUAGAAGAUUCUUAAGAUUCACUGGCACUGA
rnacentral:lncRNA from 1 species